AAUAUUAUUAAAAUAUUUUUAAUAAUAAAAAAUAUAAAGAUAAUUCUAUUAUAAAUAAAAUAAUGAUACAGUGAUUUGUUUGUAUUUAUAUAAAAUGUAUAUAUAUAUAUAAAUAAAUUAUUAAUUUAUGAUUUUAAUGAGAUCAUAUAUUACAUAAGUUUUUCUAAAAUAUUAUUAUCUUAUUAUUGAUUUGUGUCAUAUUUUGGAUUAUCCCAAUUUGAAACCAAAGAAAUUUAGUAAUUUACUGUAUUUAUUAAUUUAAUGAAUAUCAAUUUAUAGAGUUUCUAUUUAUAUUAUGACUAUCGAAUUUUGUAUUAUAGCCACAUGUGAUUUGCUAGAGGGUCCAUUUCAUAGGUUUUUUUCUACAUUACCAUAAAAAGUAAAAAAUACAUCUUCCAAACAUAACUUUCUUAAAGCUGAAUAUUAUGACCAGGUAAACCCAAUUUAAAUAAGAAAAUUGGGCUUAUUGACCCAAAAAACACAAAUUUGAUAUUCAAAAAAAACUAAAAAAACAGAAAUUCACUAACUACCCAAAACCGCAUGUUCUCUCCUAUUUUCUCCUCCUAUCUCUCUCUACACUCUCUCUAUAAAUCUAAUUUCAAUUUUUUUUUUGUUAUUUGGCAAAUAAGCCCAUUUAAAUAUGCAUAAAAAUCCACCUUUAGUACACUUACAAAAAAAAAUUGUAAUAACCACUUCACCUUUCUAAAACUCAAAAAGUUCUGCAAGGUAAAAAAAUAUCAAUAAAGCUUUCACAAAAUUAACAUGGCAGUGGUGUGUUUUUAUGCUAACUCUUGGUUGGGAGCAAUCUUUCUUUUCUUAUUCUUUAUUGUAAGACUAUUUUAUUGUAAGACUAUCGUAUGAUAUAUAAUGAUUUUGCUUUUUAGCGGUUUUUAAUUUUCUUUCACAAAGUUGAUUUGUGUUGGAUUUCUCUGUAUCUGGAAACCACGCGUCUGUGGUCGGAUGGUCAAGGCGUUCCGUGGAUUUCUAAAAGGAUCCGAGUUCGAAUCUGCACUACACCAGAUUUCCACACGCGUGGCCACCGGAGCUUUCACAUUCUCUCUCCGGAAAAUGGUUUACCAUUUUUUUUUCUCUGUAUGUGGAAGAUAUCAUUCACCAUUCUACAACUCAUUUAUUAUGAUAUGCAAACCGAACAUUAAAAAAAAGAGCCAACAACAUUUAUCAUUGUUCCAUUAAAGAGGAGGAGAGUGGAUUCAAUGUCGCAUAUAGCUGUUAUCACAAGGCGGUUUCCAUGCUUACCUGACAUGAUUUUGUAAAAUUCUCUUUUUCGGCCGUUGUUUGAGGUCAUUUUUUUCUUGUCUGAAACAUAAUUCACAUUCCCAAAAAGCUUCUAUUUUUUUCUCUUAGGUCAAACACAAAAGCUAGAGAAAAACAGCUAAUCUUGUUCUCUCUUUGCAACGACGGCUAAUCAAGGAAGCUCAAGGACCCGAUAGCUUACGCAAAGAUAUGUCGCGACUUUAAUGUGUUUUUGUACAGAAAGGGACCUCCUUUCACCUUCAUGCCUUACAUUCUUCAUCAACACAACGAGGUAUUAGGUUGAUUUGGAGCAUAAGAUGUCGAAUUGGGUGUAAAUGAGCAAAUAAAGAUGCAGAACUAUGCAGAUGCAUAAAAAAGUUUAGAUUUGGAUAUGGGUGACAUUCCAUAGUACCAAUGAGCUCAACUUUUGAUACAAAAUAAGAGCUUGAGUCAGCUUUCCAAAGCCGCCGGUUUGAGAUCGAUUCAUCAAAAUUUCUGUGUGUAUUAUUGAAGACUGCUCUGUCUGCCGCUUCAAUACUAGAAAAAAGGGAAAUUUCUGUUUUCUUAUUUUGGUUUGGUUAACCCAAAUUUCGACCAGCACGAAAAUAAAAUUUAUAUUUGCUAUUUUCAUCCAUUUUUUAAGCAAAUGCUUUUUCUACUCUUGUUAUACUUUUGCUUUGGAGAUUUGUAAGCUUUGGGGAGACAUUCUAUACUCUUUAUAGAGAAGAUUUCUGAACCCCCUUAUUGAUUUUAUUGCCAUGAUUUUCCCAGCGA